UCUCUAUCUGUCUCUUCUCUUCUCUUUUCCAGCCGCGGUUUUCUACAUCUGCACGUGAAGAGUCGAUCGUCUGAGGAAGUGAAGGAAAUGAAGAGAAAGAUGAACGCAAGAAGAGUACGAGGGAUAGGAAAGAGAAGAUGAUGAGUCUGAAGGAGUGAAGGAAGUGAAGGUUAAGAUGAACACAACGAAGAGAACGGAGGAAAAAAAGAACAAAGAAAGACGAUGAGGGAAGGAUCUUUAGCCGCUGUCUCUUCUGCUUCCACAUGAUGAUCGGCUUCUGGAGGACUUAUUUUUCUUUUUCUUCGUUCACCAUCGUCGGGAGAAGUGAAGGAAAUGAAGGUGGAGAUGAGAGUUCCCAAGUGGAGGAUACAAAAAAUUUAAGAGCGGGAAUGAAGGAUAUGAAAACGUCCAGUGGCUUGAUUGUGGAGAAAUGAGUAAUGGAAAGAUGAAAAAUAAAUGGCACAAAUAAUAACACAGAGAUAGACGGAGACCAUAGAUAAGAAAACAGACAAGAAAGAGACGGAGAAAGAGGGGAAGAAAAAAAGACAAGACUGGCAGCAGGAAAAGAAAUACACGAAAGAAACAAGCAGAUAAGAGCACGAGAGAAAGGCAGGAAGGGACGGACCGAGAAAAAAUAAAACACGAAGAAUCAGAGAAAAUAGAUUAGAAAGAGGAAGAGAGAGAGAGAGAUACGAGACACGAAGACGGAGAAAGACGAGACAGGGAGAAAGAAACAAAGGCUGCAAGAAACAAUCGACGCGUGAAGGACGAAAAAAAAGAGGAAAGAGAAACCAGAAACGAAAAAAAAAAAAGAGGAAAAGAGGAAAGAAACCUUCACCAAAUCAAACGCUUUCUAAAACUAAUGAAUUCACACACACGACGCGGUGAAUCAGAUGAAGGAAGUUAAUAUACAGUACGAGUAGAAAAAUGAGUCUUUUCUUCCACUGACAAAAGACGAAAAACAAAGAGCCACUCAGUUCUAUUAACUUUUAUAGGAGUAGUGCUUGGCGGGCUUUUUUGUUUGUUUGCUUGUUUUUUGUUGUUGUCUUUGUCUUUGAGCUUCUACCUUGACAGUAAAAAGAGAAGGAAAGAGCAAAUAGAAAACUUUACUCCAUACUCUUUAUCACAUUUCCCAAUCAUUAGACAAGAAAAAGAGCGAGUAUUAAUAAGUUUAUAAUCACAACUUGAGUAUGAGUAGCAUGAGUUGAGAAAAAAAUGAGUAAAAGUAUGAUUGAAAGCUGAGUAAAUUUCAAUACAGAUAUGAGUCUUUCACAAGCCACGACUCACAGCACCUCUCAGAACACACGACUCGGUGCUUCAAAAGGGAGGGACUGAAGCGAGGAUGAAGGAGUGCAGUGUAUCUGUGUUUGCUUUUUCCUAGACUCGUUGAUAUUUCUUUCUUUCUUCUUGUUUUCCUUCUUUUUUUCUGGGAGGGUCUUUUUAUAUCUGUCAGCAUUCUCCUAAUUCAUAAUGGAUUCAGACUUAAAGAUUUUUCUCUCUCCUUUCUAAUGACUUAAGAAUAAAUUGCUUUUUGUGAAGAUUUUUUGUUCUUAUUCUAAUUUUCCUGCGAACCUUUCAUAUUUGCAAGCAUUAUCCUAUUCUUUCCUCUCUUUAUCCAGAUUCCUGGGUUAUUUUCUUCCUUUAUCACUAAGAAAGUUUUAAGUGUGAUCCUUUCUCGAUAUUUUUUGUUCUUAUUUCUCGUUUUCUUUCUUUUUAGUUAUUAUGUUAUUGUCGACAUUCUCCUUUUCUCAUUUGUUUUCAUAUUUUAAACUUGUACUGUUCCCUUCAUCUAACUAGAAUUGAAAAAAAAAAAGGAAUAUACAGGAAUACGCACAUAAAGAAAAAAGAAACACCUAAAAUCACAGUAACAAAACACAAACACAGUCACACAUUCAAACACAAACGCUCCCACAAAAUCAUGCGCAACAUCCAUGAAGGAAAAAAAGAAAAAAAAAAAAGAAAACAA